rnacentral:rRNA from 1 species
ACGGAGGGGGUUAGCGUUGUUCGGAAUGACUGGGCGUAAAGCGCGCGUAGGCGGAUCGCAAAGUUGGGGGUGAAAGCCCAGGGCUCAACCCUGGAAUUGCCUUCAAGACUCGCGGUCUGGAGUUCGAGAGAGGUGGGUGGAAUUCCGAGUGUAGAGGUGAAAUUCGUAGAUAUUCGGAGGAACACCAGUGGCGAAGGCGGCCCACUGGCUCGACACUGACGCUGAGGCGCGAAAGCGCGGGGAGCAAACAGG